ACAUCCUGUUUACUGGUCGUUCCUUGACCUUCAUUGACAGCUGUAAAUCUGGAUAAUUUAAAUAAUAACACACAAUGACACUUAUCCCUGAUGGUAUAUAAAUCUCGAAUGGAACAAUGUUUUAAACAUACGUGUACGAAAAGGAUUACUCUAAAGCUGUCGAUUAAAUUCAAUAACGAAAAGAAAAUAAUGGACAAGUGCAAAGGAGCUAUUGCUUUUUUACUGAUAUGCGCCUCGUUGGUAGAGAAAAGCGAAACAGCUGUAUGCGGUACUAAAUGGUAUAAUCCAACUUUCAAAACCUGCUGCAAUGGAGUGUUGAAUACUUUCAGGCAACGUGCAUGCUGUGGAACAGUAGCGUAUGAUCCAACUUUCAAAACUUGCUGUAAUGGAGUGUUGAAUACUUUUAGGCAACGUGCAUGCUGUGGAUCAGUAGCGUAUGAUCCAACUUUCAAAACUUGCUGCAAUGGAGUAUUGAAUACUUUUAGGCAACGUGCAUGCUGUGGAACCAUUGCCUAUAAUCCAACUUUCAAAAAAUGCUGUAAGGGGGUUUUUUGCUAGGCGACGAAAGUUGUUUCCUCAUCUGAUGGGUGACCUUAACUUUAACUUUCAUACAUACAUUUCUUUUUUUUCAACACUUUAAUUGAUUUUUUAUUGCAUAUAUUGCUGUUCAACAAUUAAACUUGGUGUACAGCAUUCCAUCAAGUAUUCCUGUUACAUACAUUUCACUUGUUAUUUACUUUGUUUAUCACAUGGAAGGAAAAUAACGAGAUAGUUGUUAUGUAAUACAAUUUUUCCGCUAAAGUAACAUUUUGUUUCAUUCAAGGCAUUUAACAUACAUAUGACUCAAUAAAAAUAUUAAAACUA